GGCAAAGAUCAACCUACUUUAACGACAGAGGCAGCUUUUGAGGUGAGGAUCUCAAAGCCCGUGAUAUCUCAAACACAGCUAACGAGAAAGAAUUCUGACUGUCAUCUGGACCCAAGAGACUUGAGGUUGGCAGCACAAACCCCACCCCCAGCCCCACUCCAGCCCUGCUCCCAGCUAUCUCGGAGUAGCUUGGCCUCCAGGAAAGCAGCUAAAGUCAAAUACACUCGGAGCAGGUUUUUCUCAGGGGUUCCAGCAACAGUUCCUGAAGCCUUCUUAUAUAGAUCCAGUCACCUGUCUGGAAACAGUGAGGAGUCGCUGGCAUGCCUGGAGCAUUUAAGGCAAAUCUCAUAUUGUGGGACACCUCCUGGGAGGGCCCAGUGGGCACCAAAGGAGUUGGGGUAUCAACGAGGAUCUCUGGGGGGGGCAGGUUAAAAUGGCAGGGGCUGUUCAGAAACAAGGGGGAGAGGCACCACCCAGCCUGAGUCAGUCUCCAAGGUCAAUUUAGUUAUGGUUUCUCAUAGGGUUUUGUUUAUUUUCUCUACCUGUCUUGAGCCCUGGGGACAGUAUGUCCAAUAAUGUUUUCAAUUAGUCUCCAAUAUCUGUCAAUUUCUGACUUACCUUAGAAACAGAACCAUUGUCUGAUCCAAUUACCUUGGGCACUCUGAAACUCGGGAAAAUUUCUUCUAACCUUGGCAGCUGUUUCCUGCUUACUGGGGAAAGUCUCAACCCAUCUAGAGAAAAUAUCUAUAAAUGCUAGAAGGUAUUCAUAACCAUAUUCUCCUGCCUUAGCUUUUAUAAAAUCUCUUAAUUUACUCUAGGCUGUCCUCUUCUAUGUCUUUUGCCCUGUUUACUCUUUGCUACAUAAGCAUUUACUUGCUGGCAUAUCUUACACUGUUCUAUUAUCUCUCUAGCCUAAAACCUGAGUCAUAAAUAUAUAUGUUAGGUCCCUUAACUGCCAGGACAAGGUUUUUUAAUGAAUGUUUCUUUUUUUUUUAAAAGAUUUAUUUAUUUAUUUAUUAUAUGUAAGUACACUGUAGCUGUUUUCAGACACCGGAAGAGGGUGUCAGAUCUCUUUUCGGGUGGUUGUGAGCCACCAUGUGGUUGCUGGGAUUUGAACUCAUGACCUUCGGAAGAGCAGUCGGUGCUCUUACCCACUGAACCAUCUCUCCAGCCCCCCAGGACAAGGUUUUUAAUCCCUUAAAUGAUUCCAUCUGUGCAUUUGGCCUAGUGAGUCUUUGGCUUACUUUCUGAGGAGUAUAGUUCUCCCUUCUUGUGUGCACCUUCUCUUGGUAAUAGUUGGUAGGGUGGCAAGCAAUCUCAGCAUAUUUUAAGUGAGACUGUUUCUUAAUUUUGUCCCAUUUCCCAAUGGGUGUCUCUUACAGACCCAUAACCACUAUAGGCUCCUGCAUAUCCAUUCCUGGAGCCACUUGCUCUGCCUGGUUAUUACCCAUUGAAUCUUUUCUCUUUUGAUGUCCUGGGCAGUGAAUAAUACUCAUAGUUGCCAGCUUCAUUAGGGCAUCUAAGAGGUCCAAGAUUUCCUGUUGGUUUCCUCUGAUGUGAGCAGUCCUCUUGGCAUAUAUCCCUGUGGACAUGGAGUGUGGCAAAGGCAUACCUGUUAUCCGUAUGGAUGUUGAUUUUCUUGCUGGUCCCAAGUUCCAAGGUCUUGGUGAGGGCAACUAGCUCCACUUUCUGCAUUGACAUGCCAGGGGGUAAAGAUUCCUCUACCCAGAUGACAUUUGUGCCAUCCACCAUAGCAGCACCUGCUUAUCUCUGUCCAUCAUGGAGAAAACUGCUCCUGUCUGUAGCGACUUUCAGCAGGGGUCAGUCUCUCUUUUUGGGCCAGUUAGCUCCAUUCCAUUGGGCAAGAAGCAAAUCUUCCCCCCUCCCAUUUUGGAGCGUAUGUCUUGUUCCAACAGAGAGUAGGAACAGUCUGGAGUGACCCUAAAUGAAUGGGCUACCCGUCCCAUCCCUAGGUCCACUGUUCUUUAGGUAGUCCAUGAAUACAUUUUUGGUGCCAGUGGCUUCUUGGACCCAAGAUCUUUUCUUGGAAACAGUGCCAUUAGCUUGGAAGACCAAGUGUUGCGCCCCUGUGUCCAUCAAGAACUGAGUGGUUUCUCUUUCACUCCCACAGUUAUCCAGGGUUGGGGGAGGUGGUCAGAACCCCAUCUCCCCUAGUCACUGUCUUCACCCAGGGCUAACACCUGGGUUUGCCAUUUGGGGCCACUUUUCCCAAGACCUGGGAAUUCCUGCCCCCGUCUUCUGUUAGGGCACACUCUGGCUCAGUGGUCUCUUUCCUUAUAGUAUGCACACUGGUCCUUUUCUGUCUCUCCUGCUUUUUCUAACUAUUAUAACCAGGAUUCUCUGUAGCUUCUUCCUUCUCGGUCGUUUUUUUUUUCCUUUCUUUUUCUCUGUUCCUUCUCCUCCUCUGUCUCCCUGUCUCAGCAAACUGCACUAAAUCCUUCUACAGACCUUCUCAGCAACCUGCACCAAAUCCCUCUAGCCUCUGAAGCUUUUUCCUGAUAUCUCUACCAGCCCAGUCUAUAAAAGCCAUUGUCACAGUAGCUUUAUAUUCCUUGCCCCUGGAGUCAUAGUGUGUAUAUUGACAGAAUGCCUCUAUGAGCUGCUCUAGAAAAGCUGCAGCUGACUGAUCUGGUCCCUGCUUAAUCUCACAUAUCUUGGUCAAAUUUAUGGGCUGCCAUGCCCUCAAGACCUGCCAAUGGAGUCUGGUGUUGGUCCUUCAGAUGCCUCUUACCUUUUGUCUGAGGGGGUAUUCUUUUUGGCUUCCUGUAUUACAAAUAAAACAGUCUCAAAGAGAUUAAUUAGUCUCUUGGGAAAUAUGUCCUUAGUGAGAAAGCUACUGUGGUAUCAGGAUAGGUGGUCUCAGGUCCUCUCCUGCUCCACUCUGUGGUCCUCUCUAAAUAUCAGUUGAGCAUAAUUAUUACCAUUUUGUAAAUUAUAAACCAUAAGAUCGACAUAACACAUAGUUUAUCAUCCCUUUCAAUUAAACAGAACCCUUUCAUCUGUAUUAUCUUAAAAGACUGUCAGAAUUAAUACUUAAUUAACAUUGUAAGAAUUGACUCAUGUCUUGGCUUUAAAUGUCACCUGAAAAUCAUUUAUUUAAAUCUAUAUCAGCUUUCUCAAGAUUAAACAGCUUAGGCUGUCUAUGAGACUAACAGUCUUUAACCCCAUCAGAAAUCUAAGAGUGACCAAUAUUAACUGAAAAUAUCAUAUUCUGUGGAUUUUUGACAUUUUUGAAAACCAAUUAUCUAUGUAAAGUAAUGUGGACUGUUGUCUGUUAAACUAUCUUCAGCUAUUUGUGAUUAAAACCUAUAAAACACCCUAAUAAGAAACUCAGAGCCUUAUAUUUCUAUUUGGCCAUAAACUCACAGGCUUAAACAUCUCAGAUCUGUAAUAAUAACAGCAAAGAAGGACUGGGGGUAA